rnacentral:rRNA from 1 species
UACGUAGGUGGCAAGCGUUAUCCGGAAUUACUGGGCGUAAAGCGCACGCAGGCGGUCUUUUUAAGUUUGACGUGAAAGCUCCCGGCUUAACUGGGAGAGGUCGUUGAAUACUGGAAGACUUGAGGCAAUGAGAGGGGUGUAGAAUUCCCGGUGUAGUGGUGGAAUGCGUAGAUAUCGGGGGGGAAUACCAGUGGCGAAAGCGGCACCCUAGCGUUAGCCUGACGCUCAUGUGCGAAAGCGUGGGGAGCGAACGGG